GAUGAACGCUGGCGGCGUGCUUAACACAUGCAAGUCGAACGGAAAGGCCCAAGCUUGCUUGGGUACUCGAGUGGCGAACGGGUGAGUAACACGUGGGUGAUCUGCCCUGCACUUCGGGAUAAGCCUGGGAAACUGGGUCUAAUACUGGAUAGGACCACUUCUUGGAUGGUGUGGUGGAAAGUUUUUUCGGUGUGGGAUGAGCUCGCGGCCUAUCAGCUUGUUGGUGGGGUAAUGGCCUACCAAGGCGUCGACGGGUAGCCGGCCUGAGAGGGUGUACGGCCACAUUGGGACUGAGAUACGGCCCAGACUCCUACGGGAGGCAGCAGUGGGGAAUAUUGCACAAUGGGCGCAAGCCUGAUGCAGCGACGCCGCGUGGGGGAUGACGGGCUUCGGGUUGUAAACUCCUUUCGCUAGGGACGAAGCGUUUUUGUGACGGUACCUGGAGAAGAAGCACCGGCUAACUACGUG
rnacentral:rRNA from 1 species